rnacentral:rRNA from 1 species
ACGCUCGACACCUACGGGAGACAGCAGUGGGGAAUAUUGCACAAUGGGGGAAACCCUGAUGCAGCGACGCCGCGUGAGUGAAGAAGUAUUUCGGUAUGUAAAGCUCUAUCAGCAGGGAAGAAGAUGACGGUACCUGAGUAAGAAGCCCCGGCUAACUACGUGCCGGCAGCCGCGGUAAUCUGAGCGGGCUGGCAAGGC